AAAUUUCCCUUCUCCUUUUCACUGCCGCACGCCCCCCCUCUAUUUUCGUUUUUCCCGUCGUUCACGUGCCUUAGUAACCGCCUCAACUCCCGCCGUUCAGACCAAGCCGCACGCUGUCAUCAACGUCGUCAAGCCAUCUUCUCGUACCGUCGACUAAGCCAGCAUCAUCCAACCGUCGAUCUGUUCGCCCAGCUCUCACGCUAGCUCGCUGUCGAGUGGAGUCGUCCCAUCCGUUCGCUCGCGCCAGAUCCACCCAGCCGUUCCUAAUUGACGUCGCGUCGGAUUCUGCCAGCCCUGAAGCAGACCGUUCAUGCGCCAGAUCGAUCGCGCGUCCGUCUGCUCCAGUACGCUGUUCGUCCAGUCAGCGUCGAUCAUUUCUUCCGUUCCAUCCACGCCCUCUGUUCGUCGUCCGCCACCACCGCCGUCGUUGGGUUUUCGCUAGAUCUGGUAGUUUUGGAUCCAAGAUUGGAGUACUUUGGAGUGCGUAACGUGCUAUCCAACGGAUUCGAGUUCGUUCGGCAAGUAGUUUGUAUUUUGAAGGUUCCAAGUCAUCGUCCAUUGAGUUUUAAAAUAUGCUAAGAGGAGAUUUUGGAGUCGAAAUCUUGCGAGUGUUUGUUGAUCAAGUUUCGUUUGGGGGACUUAAUUCAGGAUUUAUUUUGUUGGAGAUCAUUAGCUUGGAUUAAGCUCUGAAUUUAACUUUGAAGUAAAUUAGGGAUGCACCGACGAUGGACAAGCAGAAUUCGUGAUCGAGUCACUGAGACUAGUUUUAUGCUUCCGCUUAUGAGACUUAGAUUUCCUUUCACGUUUUGCUAAAUUUUUAGUUGUGAUGUUUGAAACCUAUUAUUAAGAAUUUUUUUUUCAGACUUAUUUAUUAACAUUUAUGAUUUAUGGGUACCCAAUUGUUAUUUAAAAAUUCGCAUUUAAUAAGGGACUUUGAACUUA